UUUCAUAGGAUUAUUGGUUAUUUUUAUAAAAAUGGUCACCCUUAGACUGGUUAAAACCGAUGCACGUACCCUAGUAUUGUCGAUUUCAUGUGCUUUGAGGUUGAUGAGAUUGCAAGUCAAAAAUGCGUCGGGAUGAAAUCUCACUUCGCAUUAAGCUUCUAGAAUGAGUAGUAAGAAAAUGAGUCACACUCUCACUCUUGUCCAAAACAUUGUUGAACCAUGUAUUAACGGAGUAUUAUUUUCAAGAACCAUUCUCAUUUCAUCACUUAACUAUCAACUCUUCAUCACGCUUGCCGAUAAGAUUGCUUCACUGUCCGUGUCGUGUUUUUCUGUAGCCCGGGUUGACUUCUACCCGCUAAUAAAAGUCACAAUUCGGAACAUUUUGAUGGUAUCACGUACUAUAAAACCACUAUAGCUCACUCGGCUGCGUCGCGUCACCGUUAUCAGAAACGUUAUCAGAGCACAGCAAGACUGCACAAUGCAACAAUGCCGACAACAACACACCGUUUCGUGGAACGACAGCUUCAACCGCACUCUGGCACUCUUGCUCGUUUGAUGCAUCUCGUGUGGGGCCUCGUUGAAUCACCAACCGGCUCGUGAUUGCUCUCGCCCGGCCUGGCGUGGCGUUCCACACCUUCACGCGUAUUUACGGAUUCAGUUGUAUGCUGGUGCGUAUAAUCCACAAAACGAUGCAGAAGUUCAUUCCUGCUGUGGAGGCUAACUACACACCAGCUGAUUUGGAUUUCACACGGUUCUACAACAAUGACACACAUACACGUGAUGGACGAGUUUGGACCAUAAGGUAACUGAAUUUCACUUUGAUUGACACUAUUUUGCCGCCCAUCACGCUACGAACCGCAGGAUGUGUGCCAAAACUGCCCACUACUGAAUAAUACGUAGCAAACGACCUCGUUCGCAUCAGUUUUGCUGGCACAAGCAAUUGACCGGACAUGCAAGUCAAUUUCAGGAAUCUUCAGAACCGACGCAUUCCCAAUUCUACUAUUUGGCUGUCGCGCGGAAUAGUUUCAGAGAUGAAUCCGCAACCGGCACUGACUUCAUUCAACUAGGUACUCCCUCAAAACAAAUAUCGGCGAAAAAGUUCAUCACGCGCCAGACAGCUCGAAUACGUGCUGGAGAAACGUGGAAGCAGAAAGAGAAAUAAAUAAGUCAACAAAUAUGGUUAAUAAAAAGCCGUCUUAACCGUGAA